UUUUACUGCCGCCAUACUCCUAUUCAAUUUGCAUGAUAACUUGACCUUGUGAGUAUUCUUGUCUUCAUCUGUCAUCACCUCUGUGGAGUCUAUAUCAUCAUAGGUCCCAAUAAACAUGAGCGGAUCAGAAAUGGCAUUUCCACUGAGUAGAAGUCGUGGGUUGUGGGUUGCACUGUGUAGAAUGAGGUGAAAGUAUAUAUGCCUCAAUUUUUGUAAAGCAUACUGGUUUGAACUCUCUGCUACAAGAUAUUACAUCUCAGUAAUAAUUAUGUUUGUAUACUUGUGUUAUAUUUAAAAAUACUUGUGUUAUUGUUAGUAUAUUUUCUGGAAUUAGUAAUGAAAUGUACAUGCAUUUUUUGUAUGAUUUCGGAAUACACUUAGCUUUGAUUA